rnacentral:rRNA from 1 species
UACGUAGGGGGCUAGCGUUGUCCGGAAUCAUUGGGCGUAAAGCGCGUGUAGGCGGCCCGGUAAGUCCGCUGUGAAAGUCGGGGGCUCAACCCUCGGAUGCCGGUGGAUACUGUCGGGCUAGAGUGCGGAAGAGGCGAGUGGAAUUCCUGGUGUAGCGGUGAAAUGCGCAGAUAUCAGGAGGAACACCGGUGGCGAAGGCGGGUCUCUGGGCCGAUACUGACGCUGAGGAGCGAAAGCGUGGGGAGCAAACAGG